GAUGAACGCUAGCGGCAGGCUUAAUACAUGCAAGUUGAGGGGCAGCAUGAUAUACGCGAGUAUAUUGAUGGCGACCGGCGGACGGGUGAGUAAUAGGUAGGAGACCUACCUCAUACAGGGGGAUAGCAUAGAGAAAUCUGUGGUAAUACCCCAUGAGGUUAUAUGAAUAGAGGCAUAUAAUCAAAGCAUAAGCGAUUAUGCGGUAUGAGAGGGGCCUACUGACCAUUAGCUAGUUGGUGAGGUAAGGGCUCACCAAGGCGAAGAUGGUUAGGGGUUUUGAGAGAGAGACCCCCCACAUUGGAACUGAGAGACGGUCCAGACUCCUACGGGAGGCAGCAGUAGGGAAUAUUGGGCAAUGGGCGAAAGCCUGACCCAGCCAUGCCGCGUGAAGGAAGACAGCCUUAUGGGUUGUAAACUUCUUUACUACGCGAAUAGAGGUUAGUACGAGAUACUAAUAGGAAGGUAGUGCAGUAAAAAGCACCGGCUAACUCCG
rnacentral:rRNA from 1 species